ensembl:snoRNA
GUGCUGUUGAAGUGAUGAGUAUUCAUGUCUCUUCUCUGACAAACACAUGGAGAGAGCAUAAACACCUCUGAUCUCAGCAU